rnacentral:rRNA from 1 species
GUACGCUGGCGGCACGCCUAACACAUGCAAGUCGAACGCAGUAGCAAUACUGAGUGGCAAACGGGUGAGUAUAAUGUGGGAAUCUGCCUUUUGGUUUGGAAUAACACGGGGAAACUUGUGCUAAUACCGAAUAAGCCCUUACGGGGAAAGUUUUAAUGCCGAAAGAUGAGCCCGCACUUGAUUAGCUAGUUGGUAAGGUAAAAGCUUACCAAGGCAACGAUCAAUAGCUGUUCUUAGAGGAAGACCAGCCACAUUGGGACUGAGACACGGCCCAGACUCCUACGGGAGGCAGCAGUGGGGAAUCUUGCACAAUGGGGGAAACCCUGAUGCAGCGAUGCCGCGUGAGUGAAGAAGGCCUUUGGGUUGUAAAACUCUUUCGUCGGGGAAGAAAAUGACUGUACCCGAAUAAGAAGGU